GACGUAGGGAGCGAGCGUUGUCCGGAUUCAUUGGGCGUAAAGGGUGCGUAGGUGGCCGGGUAAGUUCGGUGUGAAAGCUCGGAGCUCAACUCUGAAAUGUCAUCGAAUACUAUCCGGCUUGAGGGUCGGAGGGGAGACUGGAAUUCUCGGUGUAGCAGUGAAAUGCGUAGAGAUCGAGAGGAACACCAGUGGCGAAGGCGAGUCUCUGGACGACUCCUGACACUGAGGCACGAAAGCUAGGGGAGCAAACAGG
rnacentral:rRNA from 1 species